UCCUCGUUAGUAUCAGUGGUGAGUAUCCCCGCCUGUCACGCGGAAGACCGGGGUUCGAUUCCCCGACGGGGAG
rnacentral:tRNA from 1 species